UGAGCAAUCUGCCCUUCUCUUCGGAAUAAGCGUUGGAAACGACGUCUAAUGCCGAAUACGACCUCCUUUCGCAUGAUCGGAGGUGGAAAGCUCCGGCGGAGAAGGAUGAGCUCGCGGCCUAUCAGCUAGUUGGUGUGGGUAAUGGCCCACAGGCGACGACGGGUAGCCGGCCUGAGAGGGUGACCGGCCACACGUGGGACUGAGACACGCCCAGACUCCGUACGGGAGGNAGCG
rnacentral:rRNA from 1 species